CUUUGAAGCUCCAGGUGCUUCCAUAGUAUAUAGGUGUGUUACAGUGCAGUGCUUAAGAUAUAACAGAAAUCACAAUGAAGGGAUUAAAGCAAGCUCCUCAAGGGGGACAUGGGAUGUCAACUUUCCAGAGACAUUGGCCAUUAUUUUGAAAACUCGUGGCGAUCGAGGGAGGUCCCAGAUGAUUUGAAAAAGGCAAAUAUAGUGCCCAUCUUU